UGCCAGUGAUGUACUGAAUGCACGUAUUAUCUGAAUAAUACAUGUUGAAUUAGCAAUUUGUCACUACCUCUGAGGCA